rnacentral:rRNA from 1 species
AUGGAGCGAUCAACGCGGGGAGCAAUGGCGGCCCGGUCGUGGCUGCUCCUGCUCCUCGGCCUCGCCGGCGUGCUCCAUGUUCACGGCCAGCGCGCGCCCGACAGCACCGGUUUCGUCAGCAUCGACUGCGGCCUGCCGGAGCAGGCCGGCGGCUACGUGGACGCCGCCACCAAGCUGCCGUACGUCCCGGACGGCGCCUACACCGACGCCGGCGCCAACCACAACAUCUCCCCAGAGUACAUCAAGCCAGCCUCGUCGAAACGCUAUCUCAACGUCCGCAGCUUCCCCGGCGUGGCCCGGAGCUGCUACACGCUCCCGUCCACCGUCGCCCGGGGGUCCAAGUACCUGCUCCGUGCGACCUUCAUGUACGGCAACUAUGACGGGCUGAGCCGGCUCCCCGUCUUCGACCUCCAUCUCGGCGUCAACUUCUGGCGGACCAUGAACAUCACCACGGCCGACAAGCCGCAGCUAGCCGAGAUCAUCGCCGUCGUCCCCGACGAGUCCGUGCAGGUGUGCCUCGUGGACACCGGCUCCGGGACGCCCUUCAUCUCCGCGCUCGACCUGAGGCCCGUCAGGGACACGCUGUACCCGCAGGCGAACGCGACGCAGGCGCUGGUCCUCGUCGACCGGACCAACUUCGGCCUCAGCGGCGCCGCGCUGGUCAGGUACCCGGAGGACCCGUACGACCGCGUGUGGAUCGCGUGGAGCGAGAUCGACUCAAAUGAAUGGACGGAGAUCUCGACGCCGGAGAAGGUGAAGGAGCUGUCCGACCCCCGCUUCAACGCGCCGUCCGCCGUGAUGCAGACCGCCAUCACGCCGCGCAACGGCUCCCGGUCGGCGUCGUCCAGGACCAUCGAGCUGUCGUGGGACGCGGCGCCCAACCAUGCGUACCCGGACCCCGGGGUCAUCGGCAUCGUCUACUUCGCGGAGCUGGAGGCCGUGGCCGCCGCGCGCCAGUUCGAGAUGGCCAUCAACGGCAAGCUGUGGAGCAAGGCCCCCUUCACGCCGCAGCACCUCGUCUGCGACGCCUUCUUCAACAGCGAGGCCCACCGGGGGUUCGGCGGCCACUACAACAUCACCCUCAACGCCACGGCCAACUCCACGCUGCUGCCCACCAUCAACGCCGCCGAGUUCUUCUCCGUCGUCUCCACGGCCAACGUCGCAACAGACGCCAAGGACGUUGCGGCCAUGGCUGCGAUCAAGGCAAAGUAUGAUGUGAAGAAGAACUGGGCGGGUGACCCCUGCGCUCCCAAGACUCUGGUGUGGGAAGGGCUGAACUGCAGCUAUGCCAUUUCUAUGCCUCCAAGAAUCACAAGAUUAAAUAUGUCAUUUGGCGGUUUGAACGGCGGCAUACCAUCCCAUUUCACCAACCUCAAAGCAAUCAAGUAUUUGGACUUGUCAUACAACAACUUUACAGGACCAAUUCCUAAUGCUCUUUCAGAACUACCCUUCCUCGUGGUGCUGGACUUGACUGGCAACCAGCUUAAUGGAUCCAUCCCCUCCGGGCUUAUGAAGAGAAUGCAAGAUGGCUCCCUAACUCUAAGAAACGGCAAAAAUCCAAACCUUUGCAGCAACGGUACCUCUUGCGAGCCCACCAAAAAGAAGAGCAAAUCCAUGCUUGCCGUGUACAUUGCCGUUCCAAUACUUGCAGUUGUGGUGAUAGGAGGAUUGGCAGUGCUACUUCUCAUAAUGAGAAAAAAGCAAGGAUCAAGAAAGGGCAGUGUGAAGCCACAGAACGAGGCCGGUGGCGUGCAUUCGCAGUCGCGGAACGGCGACACGCACAGCCUGCUGCAGCUGGACAACCGUCGGUUCACGUACAAGGACCUACAGGUCAUGACGAACAACUUCAAGACGGUGCUCGGCCGGGGAGGUUUUGGCUCCGUAUACGACGGCUUCCUGGCGGAUGGCACGCAGGUGGCGGUCAAGCUGCGGUCUGAGUCCUCCAGUCAAGGCGUCAGAGAGUUCCUCACAGAGGCUCAUACCUUGACAAAGAUUCACCAUAAAAAUCUUGUGUCCAUGGUUGGUUACUGCAAGGAUGGGGAGCACAUGGCGCUUGUCUACGAGCAUAUGUCUGAAGGAAACCUCGAGGACAAACUCAGAGGGAAAGAUAGUGAUAGUAGAUCUUUAACUUGGAGGCAGAGGCUUCGUAUUGCAAUGGAGUCUGCGCAAGGGCUGGAAUAUCUACACGUUGCAUGCAGCCCAGCCUUUGUGCAUCGGGAUGUGAAGACAUCAAACAUCCUAUUGAAUGUGAAUCUCGAGGCCAAGGUCGCUGACUUUGGCUUGCUCAAGGCUUUCAAUCAGGAUGGUGACACACAUGUAUCUACAGCCAGAUUGGUUGGCACACAUGGCUACCUUGCCCCUGAGUACGCGGCAGCCCUGCAGCUCACCGAGAAAAGUGACGUAUACAGCUUUGGUAUCAUGUUGUUGGAAGUUAUAACGGGGAGAUCACCCAUCCUACAAUGCCCAGAACCAACUAAUAUCAUCCAAUGGGUUCGACAACACCUUGCACGGGGCAACAUUGAAGACGUGGCAGACAUUCGCAUACGAGGUGACUAUGAUAUCAAUAGUGUGUGGAAAGUCGCGGACGUCGCGCUCAAAUGCACUGCACAAGCUCCUACUCAGCGACCCACGAUGACCGAGGUGGUAGCGCAACUACAAGAGUGUCUCAAGCUAGAGGAACAACACAUGAUUUAA